rnacentral:rRNA from 1 species
CGGGACAGGUGAGUAAUGUCUGGGAAACUGCCCGAUGGAGGGGGAUAACUACUGGAAACGGUAGCUAAUACCGCAUAACGUCGCAAGACCAAGAGGGGGACCUUCGGGCCUCUUGCCAUCGGAUGUGCCCAGAUGGGAUUAGCUAGUAGGUGGGGUAACGGCUCACCUAGGCGACGAUCCCUAGCUGGUCUGAGAGGAUGACCAGCCACACUGGAACUGAGACACGGUCCAG